GACAGAGGUGCCGAGCGUUAGGCGGAAUCACUGGGCUUAAAGCGUGUGUAGGCGGAUCUGUAAGUACCUUGUGAAAUCCCACGGCUCAACCGUGGAACUGCUUGGUAUACUGCGGAUCUUGAGCCACCUAGGGGCGAGCGGAACAAGUGGUGGAGCGGUGAAAUGCGUAGAUAUCAUUUGGAACGCCAAUGGUGAAAACAGGUAGCUGGGGCUGUGCUGACGCUGAGACACGAAAGCCAGGGGAGCAAACGGG
rnacentral:rRNA from 1 species